AAAACUUUAAUAUCACGGCUGAACAUAAAUUGCGUCAAAACAAGUAGGCAGGUAUGUUAUCAGCAGUGAUAUUGUGUUUAUUGUGUCCACGAAUAAGUAUACAAAAGAUGCUAAAAUCGUCGUCAAGGAUGGAAGAGAGGAACUGCGACUCGGUGUGCCGCGACUUACCACCCGAGGACACGCAGCCAGUGUGUAUGAUGGCCAGCAGAUACAAAAAAGGAUACCUGUACUUCGCAAAUCACUGCCAAGCAAGACUAGCCAUGUGUAUCGAGAAUUUUGUUUUAAAUAUGGUUCAUUGGAGAAGGUGUCAAAGAUACGGACUAUAUAUAAUGCCAAACCCCUCAUACAUAUCCACUGCACAGGACGAAUAAGUAUUGCGAGACAAUAAAA